rnacentral:rRNA from 1 species
UGGGGUAUAUUGGACAAUGGUCGACAGCCUGAUAUAGACAUGCCGCGUGUGUGAAGAAGUUCUUCGGAUUGUAAAUUACUUUAAGUUGGGAGGAAGGGCAUUAACCUAAUACGUUAGUGUUUUGACGUUACCGACAGAAUAAGCACCGGCUAACUCUGUGCCAGCAGCCGCGGUAAUACAGAGGGUGCAAGCGUUAAUCGGAAUUACUGGGCGUAAAGCGCGCGUAGGUGGUUUGUUAAGUUGGAUGUGAAAUCCCCGGGCUCAACCUGGGAACUGCAUUCAAAACUGACUGACUAGAGUAUGGUAGAGGGUGGUGGAAUUUCCUGUGUAGCGGUGAAAUGCGUAGAUAUAGGAAGGAACACCAGUGGCGAAGGCGACCACCUGGACUAAUACUGACACUGAGGUGCGAAAGCGUGGGGAGCAAACA